CCUUCAAUAGCUCAUUUGGUAGAGCGGGGGACUGUAGAUCCCUAGGUCACUGGUUCAAAUCCGGUUCCAAGGA
rnacentral:tRNA from 1 species